GAACAGUGCCGAGUAAUGGGGGAUAACGCAGCGAAAGUUGUGCUAAUACCGCAUACGCCCUGAGGGGGAAAGUGGGGGAUCGCAAGACCUCACGUUAUUCGAGCGGCCGACGUCUGAUUAGCUAGUUGGUGGGGUAAAGGCCUACCAAGGCGACGAUCAGUAGCGGGUCUGAGAGGAUGAUCCGCCACACUGGGACUGAGACACGGCCCAGACUCCUACGGGAGGCAGCAGUGGGGAAUUUUGGACAAUGGGGGCAACCCUGAUCCAGCCAUUCCGCGUGAGUGAAGAAGGCCUUCGGGUUGUAAAGCUCUUUCAGCUGGAGUGAAACGGUGCGCUCUAACAUAGCGCGCUAAUGACGGUACCAGCAGAAGAAGCACCGGCUAACUACGUGCCAGCAGCCGCGGUAAUACGUAGGGUGCGAGCGUUAAUCGGAAUUACUGGGCGUAAAAGCGUGCGCAGGCGGAUUGUUAAGCAAGAUGUGAAAUCCCCGGGCUUAACCUGGGAAUGGCAUUUUGAACUGGCAGUCUAGAGUGCGUCAGAGGGGGGUGGAAUUCCACGUGUAGCAGUGAGAUGCGUAGAGAUGUGGAGGAACACCGAUGGCGAAGGCAGCCCCUGGGAUGACACUGACGCUCAUGUACGAAAGCGUGGGUAGCAAACAGGAUUAGAUACCCUGGUAGUCCACGCCCUAAACGAUGUCAACUGGUUGUUGGGGGAGUGAAAUCCCUUAGUAACGAAGCUAACGCGUGAAGUUGACCGCCUGGGGAGUACGGUCGCAAGAUUAAAACUCAAAGGAAUUGACGGGACCCGCACAAGCGGUGGAUGAUG
rnacentral:rRNA from 1 species